rnacentral:lncRNA from 1 species
GUUCACUUUUUGCUCCCUGCUCUCUCUACUGUGAUUUCAACUGAAAUUUUUGAUCCUAUGCGACAUGGUUACUCACUACAUCCGUGGAAUUUGGCAUACCAUUCAGCCCUAAACCUGUGUUUCACUGAAGGAGCAGUGAAGUUUGACACUGGCAUUUCUGUUGUUGCUGACAGUGAUGAUGUGCUUCUCUCUUAAGCCUGAAAGUUACACCCAAGACCUUGAUCAUGAAGAUAAUGAGCAGACUGACAACAAUCAAGGUAUUGCCAAGUAAAACAAUGACCAUAACAGUGUCUCUAACUGGGUACUGAAAGAUCUUAUAGCAGACACCUGGUUCAAGAGCUGAGGGCCAACUGAAAACAUAGGGAACCUGUAACUAUGAGUCAACCAUCUUACCUCAUAAACAGUGAGCAGCUCUACAGACCCUGGAGUACGUCUACAUGGCACCUGGCUGUAUGACAGCAUUGCCUCUUGAGGUUAUGCCCAUCACAUCUUGUCAAAAGCUGCCCUGUCAAUGCAGAUACUUGAUAAGUGAUGGAAUAACUAUACAUGUGGACUUCAAAGGAGGUGCUAUGGGAGGAGCAGCUCUUUUAGAACAAGAACCCAUGUGCAAAAUCCUGUUACAUCUGAAGAGCAGCCAAAGAAGCCUCUCACCAAUGAUGUUAGUGCAUUAAUCCAAAUAAUCUGUGGGUGUAAAUUAUGAGAUGAAAACUUUUAAGACGAGUAGUUGGAGAAGUGUGAAAGUUAACUUGAGAUAUUUUAAUGAAAUCUUCUACAGAAUAAUUUGUUUAUUUGUAGUGAUAAAGUGAAUGAUGUUUUUUCUAUUAGACAAAAACAGUACUAUAAUUCUUUUUAAUAGAUUUUUGAAGCAUCUGUUAUGAUACCACAACAGGUACUAAAUCUUAAAUGACAUGAUAUUUUCCAUUUAGAAUGUAGUCUGCAAAAUGAAUACUAAUCUCUCAGCAAAGAAUAUGCCACCUUUACCUUCUUUAUUGUAGACAUAUUGGCAUUGAUCUUAUCAGAUAUGCUGAAUCAUUGCACCAUAAUAUGGGAGCUUGCUUGUAGUAUGAAAUAAUCGAAGUGUAUUUCUUUGGAUCACUACAACAUUUUUAAGUAAACAACAGCUCUGAAAGCAAU